rnacentral:tRNA from 1 species
ACCCGGUUAGCUCAGUCGGUAGAGCGCCAGACUUUUAAUCUGGUGGUCGAGGGUUCAAGUCCCUCAUCGGGUGUCA